rnacentral:rRNA from 1 species
UACGGGGGGAGCAAGCGUUGUUCGGAUUUACUGGGCGUAAAGGGCGCGUAGGCGGCCACUGCAAGUCGGUUGUGAAAUCUCCGGGCUUAACCCGGAAAGGUCAAUCGAUACUGCAGGGCUAGAGUGCAGAAGGGGCAACUGGAAUUCUCGGUGUAGCAGUGAAAUGCGUAGAUAUCGAGAGGAACACCGGUGGCGAAGGCGAGUCCCUGGACAACACCUGACACUGAGGCACGAAAGCUAGGGGAGCAAACAGG